AAUGCCUAAUUCUGGCAGGAUCCUGGUAACUUGGGUAACCGGCUGUUAGGAUGAGAAGCUAGGACUCCUCUCGUUUCCCCCUAAGACACUUUAGUCUGGGACGGUCUCUGUGAUGCGGAAAUAGUGAGACGUAGAGAUUUCUUCCAGAGAGCGCGCGUGUCUAUAGCUUUUGUACUCCCCUCUCCCUUUAAAAAUGGUUGUUCUGACACAGUGAAAGGAGAUAGGAGCCCUCCUGGAGGCCAAAACAUGCUGUUGUGGCGAGAACGCUUUAAAAUUGCUGAGAGUUCUUGGCAUUAGAGAUGGUUCUCUUAAACAACAAAGCUUGGGAUACUGUAUGGUUUUUAUCAUCUCUCUUGGAAUACUGUAUACUUUUGGAUGUUGAAACCGGGAAAAUCUGGGGUUAGAGAAAGUUCAUGGAAAGCAGAUUCGAUGAGCAAGUUGUGAAGUUUUCCUCUCCCAAGGGUUCCCUUCUCACCAUGUCUGGCUGGCGGCGUCCCAGAUGCCAUGAGAUGGUCAUUUGAAGACAGGACUUCCGGAUAUCAGGUUUCAUCCAGUUUUGGUAUUUAUCUGAAUUGUUGAUGCUGGACGCAGGAGAAACCCAAGUGAUCAUUAUGUUAUUAAGGUAUCAAAGCACCUUACAUUAGUAUGAAACUUUUCAAAAAGUUCAUAAAAGAUGCUGAAUGUCAUGGAAGGCCCAAAGUCCACAUGAGGAGAGAAGAUGCCUGAGAACAAACAACUCCUAAUAAUAAUAAAUGUAAGAACUAAUUUUUUUUGUAGCAUGUAGUACAUGUUACAUUAUUGUUUUAUGCCAUUUUAUCCUUUAACAACACCAUGAGGGACAUCCUGUUAUUCUCAUUUAAAUAUGUAGACAUUGGUAAGUACUGAAGCCAGGAUUCAGGAUUGAGACCCUAGCCAUCAAAAGGAGGCCAUUUUGGCUUCACCCUCCUAUGUACCCUGUAACAACUCAGCUAUUUGCCAUGGGAAGAAAUUGUUAAUGGUGAGUGAUGACAAUGUAGGACUGAGCUAGAGAGGAGAAUUAUAAGUCUAAAUUGAGGUUUCACUUAAUAAUAUUGAGCAGAAGAUGAUGAUG